rnacentral:lncRNA from 1 species
GCCUCCCAUGCCUUCCCCUCAACUGAUCUGCUUGCUGUUCUCUGUCCAUCACCUGGAAUAGCCUCCCCUGUCUGUCCUUGGGGAUCCCCGGCUUCCUUUGAGGCCCAGCCCUGACUUGACCUUCUCUGAUUUUCCCAGAUGUCCGUGCGAUUUCUUCUUCGAACUUGCUGUGUGCCAUUUCCUCUUCAGGAUUCCUGUGGCUUAUGUAGAAUGGCCUGUGAGGGCAGGGAUGCUUCUGUUGUAUGUCUGCAUCCGGAGCAGCACGAAGUAGCACUGAGCCCAUGGGCCCGUCUGCAGAUGACAGAAUGCCACCAACUCCCCAGAGACAGACAUCCCCAGAUAUCAAUCGUUCCUACAACAGAAAUCUCCUUCAUUGCUGCACCUGAUAUCUCAGAGGCCCUUGGCCUAAGUGAAUCCAAGAUCUUAGUUUGGGACUUGUGAUAAUUAAAAUGUUUUGGGAGCAAGGGAAAUAUAUAACAAAUAUGACCACUUGAAAUAUGUUUUCUACUGUGUCUUGGUUUUAUAUAAAUAUAAGAUGGUCGCCAGGGAAUAUAUUCCCAAUUUAUGAAUAUGCCCAAGCCAACUGGGUUUUAUAGAGAAAUUUAAUUUAUAAUACACUGAUUAAUCAAUAGAAAAAGAGAGAAAGUAAGAAAGGAAUAAGAAUGAAUAAAUCAGUCAGUUGGUUUUAUCA